AAAGUACUCCCUCCGUCCCGAAAUUCUUGUCUUAGAUUUGUCUAGAUACGGAUGUAUCAAGUCACAUUUUAGUGUUAGAUACAUCCGUAUCUAGACAAAUCUAAGACAAGAAAUUUGGGACAAAGGGAGUAGUUG
rnacentral:pre_miRNA from 1 species